ensembl:snoRNA
UGCUGGUGAUGAAGCUGCCUCACUCAGAGCACUGGGCACUGCCAGGGGUAAGCCAGACACCAUAUCCAUCCCUGUCACACUCACUGCAGGAACA